GCCCAGUUCCCACGCCUACCGUGCAGUCGAGCGGCAGCGGAAGUAGCUUGCUACUUUGCCGGCGAGCGGCGGACGGGUGAGUAAUGUCUGGGAAACUGCCUGAUGGAGGGGGAUAACUACUGGAAACGGUAGCUAAUACCGCAUAACGUCGCAAGACCAAAGAGGGGGACCUUCGGGCCUCUUGCCAUCAGAUGUGCCCAGAUGGGAUUAGCUAGUAGGUGGGGUAACGGCUCACCUAGGCGACGAUCCCUAGCUGGUCUGAGAGGAUGACCAGCCACACUGGAACUGAGACACGGUCCAGACUCCUACGGGAGGCAGCAGUGGGGAAUAUUGCACAAUGGGCGCAAGCCUGAUGCAGCCAUGCCGCGUGUAUGAAGAAGGCCUUCGGGUUGUAAAGUACUUUCAGCGGGGAGGAAGGCGUUGAGGUUAAUAACCUCAGCGAUUGACGUUACCCGCAGAAGAAGCACCGGCUAACUCCGUGCCAGCAGCCGCGGUAAUACGGAGGGUGCAAGCGUUAAUCGGAAUUACUGGGCGUAAAGCGCACGCAGGCGGUCUGUCAAGUCGGAUGUGAAAUCCCCGGGCUCAACCUGGGAACUGCAUUCGAAACUGGCAGGCUAGAGUCUUGUAGAGGGGGGUAGAAUUCCAGGUGUAGCGGUGAAAUGCGUAGAGAUCUGGAGGAAUACCGGUGGCGAAGGCGGCCCCCUGGACAAAGACUGACGCUCAGGUGCGAAAGCGUGGGGAGCAAACAGGAUUAGAUACCCUGGUAGUCCACGCCGUAAACGAUGUCGACUUGGAGGUUGUGCCCUUGAGGCGUGGCUUCCGGAGCUAACGCGUUAAGUCGACCGCCUGGGGAGUACGGCCGCAAGGUUAAAACUCAAAUGAAUUGACGGGGGGCCCGCACAAGCGGUGGAGCAUGUGGUUUAAUUCGAUGCAACGCGAAGAACCCUUACCUACUCUUGACAUCCAGAGAACUUUCCAGAGAUGGGAUUGGCUGCCUUCGGGAAACUCUGAGACAGGUGCUGCAUGGCUGUCGUCAGCUCGUGUUGUGAAAUGCUGGGCUUAGUCCCGCAACGUAGCGCACCUUAUCCUUGUGCCAGCGGUUCGUCGGGACUCAAUGAGACUGCAGUGAUAACUGCAGCAGGUGAGGAUGACGUCAAGGUCAGUCAUGACCUACGAGGUAGGCUAACAAAUAGGGGUGGC
rnacentral:rRNA from 1 species